rnacentral:rRNA from 1 species
GGAUGAGAUCGAUUUAGCCAUGCUAGUCGCACGAGUUCAGACUCGUGGCGAAUAGCUCAGUAACACGUGGCCAAACUACCCUUCGGAACACAAUACCCUCGGGAAACUGAGGCUAAUAGUGUAUACCAUACCACCACUGGAAUGAGUGGUAUGCCAAACGCUCCGGCGCCGAAGGAUGUGGCUGCGGCCGAUUAGGUAGACGGUGGGGUAACGGCCCACCGUGCCAAUAAUCGGUAUGGGUCAUGAGAGUGAGAACCCAGAGACGGAAUCUGAGACAAGAUUCCGGGCCCUACGGGGCGCAGCAGGCGCGAAACCUUUACACUGCACGACAGUGCGAUAGGGGGAUCCCAAGUGCACAGGCAUAGCGCCUGUGCUUUUCGGUACCCUAAGGCGGUACCAGAAUAAGGGCUGGGCAAGACCGGUGCCAGCCGCCGCGGUAAUACCGGCAGCCCAAGUGAUGGCCGAUCUUAUUGGGCCUAAAGCGUCCGUAGCUGGCCGCGCAAGUCCAUCGGGAAAUCCACCUGCUCAACAGGUGGGCGCCCGGUAGAAACUGCGUGGCUUGGGACCGGAAGGCGCGACGGGUACGUCCGGGGUAGGAGUGAAAUCCCGUAAUCCUGGACGGACCGCCGAUGGCGAAAGCACGUCGCGAGAACGGAUCCGACAGUGAGGGACGAAAGCCAGGGUCUCGAACCGGAUUAGA